GCCGACUCCUCCACCUGUGUCUCCUCUUCGGUGGACUUCAAACGCGCAGUGAGUUUCGCAACUUGUGAGACGGAGGUACGGCGGAGCUUCUCCAAGUCUAUCUUCUGCUGAAUUAAGUUCAUGCGACUCUUGGCUAAUGCCGCCGCUCGUUCGGCCUGUUGUUGCGACGCCUGGCUGGCGCUGUUCGCUAACUCAGUCAAGGCGGCAGCCGCUGCAUUCAAGGCCGCGGUAGCAUCAGUGACCUUCUUCUUGGCCUUCUUUGCAGCCUCCUGCGCCUUCUUCUGUUCCUCCUCCAACUUGCUCAAAGCAG
rnacentral:lncRNA from 1 species